rnacentral:rRNA from 1 species
GACGAAGGGGGCUAGCGUUGUUCGGAAUUACUGGGCGUAAAGCGCACGUAGGCGGAUUUGUAAGUCAGGGGUGAAAUCCCGGGGCUCAACCUCGGAACUGCCUUUGAUACUGCAAAUCUCGAGUCCGGAAGAGGUGAGUGGAAUUCCUAGUGUAGAGGUGAAAUUCGUAGAUAUUAGGAAGAACACCAGUGGCGAAGGCGGCUCACUGGUCCGGUACUGACGCUGAGGUGCGAAAGCGUGGGGAGCAAACAGG